GAUGAACGCUGGCGGCGUGCCUAACACAUGCAAGUCGAGCGAUCUUCUUCGGAAGAGAGCGGCGGACGGGUGAGUAACGCGUGGGUAACCUGCCCUGUACACACGGAUAACAUACCGAAAGGUAUGCUAAUACGAGAUAAUAUGCUUUUAUCGCAUGGUAGAAGUAUCAAAGCUCCGGCGGUACAGGAUGGACCCGCGUCUGAUUAGCUAGUUGGUGAGGUAACGGCUCACCAAGGCGACGAUCAGUAGCCGACCUGAGAGGGUGAUCGGCCACAUUGGAACUGAGACACGGUCCAAACUCCUACGGGAGGCAGCAGUGGGGAAUAUUGCACAAUGGGCGAAAGCCUGAUGCAGCAACGCCGCGUGAGCGAUGAAGGCCUUCGGGUCGUAAAGCUCUGUCCUCAAGGAAGAUAAUGACGGUACUUGAGGAGGAAGCCCCGGCUAACUAC
rnacentral:rRNA from 1 species